rnacentral:rRNA from 1 species
GAUGCAGCGACGCCGCGUGAGGGAUGACGGCCUUCGGGUUGUAAACCUCUUUCAGCAGGGAAGAAGCCACAAGUGACGGUACCUGCAGAAGAAGCGCCGGCUAACUACGUGCCAGCAGCCGCGGUAAUACGUAGGGCGCAAGCGUUGUCCGGAAUUAUUGGGCGUAAAGAGCUCGUAGGCGGUUUGUCGCGUCUGCUGUGAAAGCCCGGGGCUCAACCCCGGGUCUGCAGUGGGUACGGGCAGACUAGAGUGCAGUAGGGGAGACUGGAAUUCCUGGUGUAGCGGUGAAAUGCGCAGAUAUCAGGAGGAACACCGAUGGCGAAGGCAGGUCUCUGGGCUGUUACUGACGCUGAGGAGCGAAAGCAUGGGGAGCGAACAGGAUUAGAUACCCUGGUAGUCCAUGCCGUAAACGUUGGGCACUAGGUGUGGGGGACAUUCCACGUUCUCCGCGCCGUAGCUAACGCAUUAAGUGCCCCGCCUGGGGAGUACGGCCGCAAGGCUAAAACUCAAAG